UACAGAAGGGGCAAGCGUUAUUCGGAAUUAUUGGGCGUAAAGGGCGCGUAGACGGCUUAGCAAGUGACGGGUGAAAUCCCUCGGCUUAACCGAGGAACUGCCUGUCAAACUGCAUGGCUUGAGACCGGGAGAGGUGAGUGGAAUUCCCAGUAUAACGGUGAAAUGCGUAGAUAUUGGGAGGAACACCAGUGGCGAAGGCGACUCACUGGACCGGUACUGACGCUGAUGCGCGAAAGCAUGGGGAGCAAACAGG
rnacentral:rRNA from 1 species